rnacentral:misc_RNA from 1 species
GUUUGCUGGGAUUAUCACUUCUGAAAAGCACAUUCUGGGAUGCAAAGAACAAACUAAUCCAAUGAGGUUAGGAAAUGUUCCAACACUCAAAUGUGACUUGGAGAUGGGUAACAUAACCAAGGUACCUGGAGUGUUCUUGUCAAAUGAUCUAGAUUAGAAGCUGCAUCCCUUCUGGAGAAAAGUCAGUUCUGGCAAUGAAAAAGUAUCAUUUGGUGAACACUACCUCAUGAUUCUUCAGAGUCCAA